rnacentral:rRNA from 1 species
UACGUAGGGACCAAGCGUUGUUCGGAUUUACUGGGCGUAAAGGGCGCGUAGGCGGCAAUUCAAGUCAUCUGUGAAAUCUCCGGGCUUAACCCGGAACGGUCAGAUGAUACUGCUUUGCUAGAGUGCGGAAGGGGCAAUCGGAAUUCUUGGUGUAGCGGUGAAAUGCGUAGAUAUCGAGAGGAACACCUGCGGCGAAGGCGGGUUGCUGGGCUGACACUGACGCUGAUGCGCGAAAGCCAGGGGAGCGAACGGG